GGAAAAUUAAGUCAGUGGUGAAAUCCUACAGCUCAACUGUAGAACUGCCAUUGAUACUGAUUUUCUUGAGUAUAAUUGGAGUUGGCGGAAUAUGUCAUGUAGCGGUGAAAUGCUUAGAUAUGACAUAGAACACCGAUSGCGAAAGCAGCCAACUAAGUUAUAACUGACGCUGAGGAACGAAAGCGUGGGGAGCGAACAGGAUUAGAUACCCUGGUAGUCCACGCUGUAAACGAUGAUUACUCGAUAUUGGUCUUUGAUCAGUGUCCAAGC
rnacentral:rRNA from 1 species